rnacentral:rRNA from 1 species
AUGGCGGCGCCGAUACCCCGUGAGUGGGUUGGUCUGCAGCAGUUCCCGGCGGCCACCCAGACCAAGCUGCACGAGCUCCUCGGCAAGCUCAAGGAGGAGAAUGUGAGCACAUUGACGAUUCUGGUGAUGGGAAAGGGCGGUGUGGGGAAGUCGUCCACUGUCAACUCCAUUGUCGGGGAGAGGGUCGCCAACGUCAGCGCGUUCCAGUCUGAGGGUCUGAGGCCAAUGAUGUGCUCCCGCACCAGGGCAGGAUUCACCUUGAACAUUAUCGACACUCCUGGGCUCAUUGAAGGUGGGUAUAUAAAUGAGCAGGCUGUGGAGAUCAUAAAGAGGUUUCUUCUGGAGAAGACUAUUGAUGUCCUCCUGUACGUCGAUCGCUUGGAUACAUAUAGAAUGGAUACAUUGGAUGAACAAGUUAUAAGAGCCAUCACCAAUUCAUUAGGGAAGGCCAUUUGGAGAAGAACAUUGGUUGUAUUGACCCAUGCCCAGCUGUCUCCUCCUGAUGGAAUUGACUAUAAUGAUUUCCUUGCAAGAAGAUCAGAGUCGCUUUUGCGAUAUAUCCGUUCUGGUGCAGGAAUCGGCAAACGAGAAUAUGCGGAUUUUCCCUUGCCAAUAGCUUUGGCAGAGAACAGUGGAAGGUGCAAGACUAAUGAGAAUGGGGCGAAGAUUCUUCCUGAUGGAACUCCAUGGAUUCCAAACUUGAUGAAAGAAAUUACUAUUGUUGUCUCAAAUGGAAGCAAGUCCAUUCAUGUUGAUCAGAAGUUAAUCGACGGUCCAAAUCCCAACAAUCGCUGGAAGAAGUACAUACCUCUCAUCCUUGCCGUGCAGUACUUUUUUGUGGUAAAAGGAAUCCGAAGGGCUAUUCAUUCUGACAUUUCGAACGGGAAGCUGGAUGACUGGGAGCAGCGCUAUAGAGACUUGGUUGGAAGCGGCAACCCGGUAGACCAGAAAGUUUCGUCAUCCCGCAACCCUAAGGCCUGA